ACUCUUUCCUUUAUUUGUUUUCCUUGUCAGCAUCUUCAUCCUCUCGUCCAUAUCUAUUCAAAACCCAAAAUUCGAUUGCCAUUAAAUGAAAGAUGUUGGCCUUCUUUUUCUGGAAGGAAGCAGUUGAAAACUGGUCCCCAGGUAAUUAAAGAAAAAAUGUAGUCCAGUGAUGAAUAUGCAGUGUGCAAUAAGGCAUUUCUUGAUUGAGACAUGAUAGAUCCAGCUUGAAAUAUUAAUGGGUGAUGCCCUUGUGAAUAAGGAUUUCUUGGCAAAGUUAAGAUUUUUACAAAUAAUAAGAGAAUGUAAAAAUCACAAGGAGUCAGAAUCAUAGAUAUAUACACAAGAUUUUGAAAAAGGCAUCAAAUCCGACGUAGCACAGUGGGCAGAACACAUGGGGUUUAGAAACUGAGAGGCAAAAUCAGAACAAAAUCAUAUUCCAUCAGCAAUAAAAGCUAGUUGGCCAAAAGGGUUCAAAUUUUGAACAAUGGAAAAUAAGGGGCUCUGCUAAUGGUGAGAUGAGCAAAAGAUGGUAAAGUUUGUAGCUUUGUGAAUAGAAACUUUUAUGAGUCAGAUGUAUUUUUGUAGGGGUUGAAAAUGACAUGUCAAGAUUGUAUUUUUUUUACUCAAUACCUAUGAGGUACAUAUGCAGAAAAGCAAAUGCCAAGAAACCAUCCUGGCCCCACUUGAUGCAGUUAAAAAUUGUAAUUCAAAAAUCCCAUCUUUUUCUGCACUAGCUUACAAAUUGAGUUAGUCUUGGAAUA